rnacentral:rRNA from 1 species
GACGAACGCUGGCGGCGUGCCUAACACAUGCAAGUCGAGCGGGGUUGAAGCGAGAGGUAACUCGAACUUCUACCUAGCGGCGGACGGGUGAGUAACGCGUGGGCAACCUGCCUCAAGGUCUGGGAUAACAGCCCGAAAGGGCUGCUAAUACUGGGUAUGCUUGUGGCCUCGCAUGGGGCUAUGAGCAAAGGGGAAACCCGCCUUGAGAUGGGCCCGCGUCCCAUCAGCUAGUUGGUGAGGUAACAGCUCACCAAGGCGACGACGGGUAGCCGGCCUGAGAGGGUGAUCAGCCACAUUGGCACUGAGACACGGGCCAAACUCCUACGGGAGGCAGCAGUAAGGAAUAUUGCACAAUGGGGGAACCUGAUGCAGCAACGCCGCGUGGGCGACGAAGGCCUUCGGGUCGUAAAGCCCUUUUCUGGGGGAAGAGGCAGGACGGUACCUCAGGAAUAAAGUCUCGGCUAACUACGUAG